CCCCCACCCCGCGGGCUCUGCUUGUUCUGAUUUCAUGCUGUCCUUAAUGCUUUGCUUCUGUAGCUCUGCCAUUGUUAUCCUUGGCACACACUGGUGUAUUGUUACCCAAGGCCCUGGGUCAGACACUGUGAGAAGACACUUGGAAUGAGACACCACAGCGCCACACAGAGCAGGUGGAAUUUGGAAAGAAGCCAGCUGCUAAUCACGCAUUCAGGAAAGGAAGCCUGGUGAGCAGCACAGGUCAAAAAUGGGCCCUGGCUUCAGUUUUGGAGAGAAACCAGAGACUCCUCCCCCAUGCACUUUGACACCUGCAGUUCAUAUCUGGACAGGACUGGCUUAGGGUACUGUUCAUCUCUCAUGUGUUGGUCUUGCCUCCCGUUGAGAUGGACAGCAGCUCAUAGACAAUCUUAAAGCUGUGGAUGCUGGGGCUUCAUGUUGAGUUACUCAAUCAACACUAUGGGUGAUGAUCAUCAGGAGGAAAUGAAAAUAAAACAAGGAGGAUGACCUAUCCAGCGUCACCUAGAACAGCAGCCCUGUCAAGCUCCUCAGGACCCCAAGCCUGGGAAGCUCUUAACUCACCUCCACAGAAUGUGUGAAGAAUGAGAAGCACUAAUAAGCAACUCAAUAAGGACAAGAAUUUACUGGAGAUGAAGGAUAUAAUCUGUCGACCCCACAUGAGUCCUAUAAAAGGUCAGCCAACAUCACCAAAGAUUCAAAAAGUUGUAAAGACUGAAAAAUACUGCCCAGGAACAAAGACAAUUAACCUCAUCCCUGUAACCUUGAGAACUAACACUGGCCUCAGUUUCCUCAUCUGGACAAUGUGGCUACUGAACUGGGGAAAGUCCUCCCAAAUUUAACAUUCAACAUCUGCUCCAAGUAUCAUGAGACAAUUAUGUAUGUCAGUUUCACUUUGGCAGUUGACAUGCCAUGAACCCAGGUUGCAUUAAGUCAAAUCAGGGUUUCAUGUAAAAUCCCAUGUUGUUUGUCAUACUCCUAGCCUGCAACAGUGACAUCCUGGGAGCCCAAAUCGUGUCAUAAAUUCACUGGCCAUUACGAGAAAAGGAUCUUGGAUUUUGUAGAUGAAAAAAAUGGAGUGCUUAAGAGGUCAAAUGGCUUGCCUUAGGUUGCACAAUUAGACAUGGAUAGUAGGCUUUCCAGGACAGGGGGUAGGAAGGAGGGAGGACCCACAGGAUACCAAGAGCAAAAACAAACAAACAAAAUCCCCUUUGAAUGACUUUAAGAGACUUGUUUAAUCUCUUUAUGCAUCUCCAUUUCUACUUCUCAAGGAAGUAUUCUCAACAACUCUUAAGAACCAUGAAUAAACGGGCUAUGUGAAACCAAA